rnacentral:piRNA from 1 species
UAGAAGCCUGAGGGGCAAGGUGUUGG